GUCUACGGUCAUGCCACCCUGAACAAGCCUGAUCCUGUCUGAUCUCGGAAGCUAAGCAGAGUCGGGCCUGGUUAGUCCUUGGAUGGGAGACCACCUAGGAAGACCAGGUGCUGUAGGUG
rnacentral:rRNA from 1 species